CCAGGCCCCAAGUGGAGAGACAACAACAGGGCUGGCAGGAAGCUUAGAGUAGCCAAGCAAAGCUGAAGGCCAAGCUGGAGCAGAGGACACUGAUCUAAUUUCCAGUGGAAUCUCCCUUAUCUACUAUGCUAACGGGGGCAGGGCACGCACUGGGGAAGUGGAAUGGCAAUAAGGAAAGGUGUUCAAGAAUGGUCAGUUCCACCAGGAUGCUAGAGUCACCUCUAACAGAGAAGAGGCAGACCAGAAGGAUCAUCUAAUGGUCCCUG